AUGAUGGCGGUUACGGAGCGCAGAUCGGGGCAGCUUUCCGUAACUUCCUCGGCGGUGGACUUAGAGCCGUAGCCGCUGGGGCCGACCGCUCCGAUGAGGUACUUCACGGUCUCAAGCAUCUUUCUGGUUUGGCCGGAAAAAAUAAUAGAGUAUGUCAGCCUACGCCGCUUUGCAUUUACUCUGUUCCUCUGUCUGUGUGCUUUUAAGAGAGAGAGAGAGAGAGAGAGAGAGAUUAAUGGAGUAAUUAAGAUUAGAGAGAUAAGAGAAUUAGGGAAGAAGGGUUUGGAUGACUGGUUUAAGAGCCAGCCAACGGGAAAGAUUUUAAGAAAGGAGAUUUUUGUGGGGUUUUAUAAUAAUAAUGUUGAUGGGUGGGAGAUUAAUCAA